rnacentral:misc_RNA from 1 species
CUCUCCAACAACACUCUCCCCUCCUCUCUCUCCCUCCCUCUACAAACACAUGCCCAAAUUCUCUCUCCCAAACUCUCUUUCCGUCAAUGACACAUAACAAAAUCAGAAUCAAACCUAAGAAAAUCAAGGCAAAACAGAAUCCAAGUUUAAGAAAAACUUCAGAAGACAAGGCAAAUCAAAAUCAAACCUCAGAAAAUCUGCUUCAAUUCAAUUGCUCAAAAUACUUUGUAAUCGUUGCUAGCCUAAAAGCGAUUUAUCUUUUCAUUGCCAAACUCCAACCACUCGCAAACAAUGUCAUACGACCUAGCAUUUUGGUACUUGUUGAUUUACAUGGAUAACACUGCCAUGCCUACAUCUAAUAUCAUAUCACAUCUAUUAUCCACCCUCAAGGCUCCACAAAUCACAAUUCUGAAAAUUUUUAACCCAUCAUCUAUAUUGCAUAUUACCCCGAAAUAUGCCUUCUCGAAUCAAUUCUAGGUAAUUAUAUGUCACUAUACAAACUAGAUCAACUAUCACCAAUAAAUGCCUAUUAAAUAAUAACUCUGCAAAACUGCCCCUUUGAUUUUCAAUUCUUGUUGGGGCCUUGAAGGAUGAAGGAUGCUGCAGCCCUCUUUAGUAGAAAAACCAAAAUAUAACGUUAUCACUUCAGUUUUGAGAGUUUUGCUGUUAUUCUCCCUCUCGCAGUUCUCGUAUCUGGUUUCCCUUUUCUGGAUUUUCUCAUUCUUGGCUUUCGUGGCUCUCUAUUCAACCGCCUUUUUUCUAAGCGCUGAUGGCGGAUCUCAGGAUCAGCCCAACCUUUUCCCCAGUCUGCAAAAGUAGAAUAAGACUUGCAUUUGUUCAUUGAAAGAAUCAUGUCUGCUUCGGGAUAAACAUAGAAAGGUUGAUCUCUUUCAAAUUCCAGAAACUCCAAUCCUAGCCUUGUCAUCUGUGGGAAUUUUAUUUGAACAUGAAUCUUGUCAUCACCUUCUCUGAUGUAUCCUUUACCUUCAAUAACCCGAGCAAGACCUCGCCACCAUAGCUGAUCUUUCUCACAAAAUUUUUGAGACUGCUCUCUUAAUUUACUAACAAACAUUCUGAGGUUUGGCUUCUGCAUUAAUCUAGGUGACUUGGAGUCACUGUAUGUAUCAUCAUAUGAACCAUCAAGAUAACAGCUCUGUCCAUGAUGGGCAGCAAUAAUCUGCAUUAAAAUAUCAGCUUCCUCUUUUAAAUUCUCCACUUUAGGAGGCCCAUCAACACACACAUCACACAAGAGACACUUCUCAUAACUGAAAUCCUCCCCAAAAUACUCCACAAGUCUUUUAGCUCGACAACAUGAGGUAUUCAUUCCAUAUCUGAAACAAUCAGACAACAUCUUGUAUGCUUGUUUUGUCUGAUCUUCACUUCUUUUACUAGGCAAAAGUGAUGGUAUUCUUGACAGGUUUGCAUAUAGAAUGCAUUCUGCUAGUUUCCCAUCCCUUCCAGCACGGCCUGCUUCUUGAUAAUAUGCUUCCAAACUCUGUGAUUGAACUUAAGAUUAAAAGAAGCUUUAGAAGGCAAAAUAUAACUGAAGAUUGUGUAAAAUGAUAUUAUGAUAAGUCAAUAUCCAAAGGGAUUGCAAAGCUCAACCAAAUACGGCAGCGAUAUCAAAUGUAAACCUGUGGCCAACCAUAGUGGAUAAUUCUUCGGACAUUUAACUUGUCAAUCCCCAUUCCAAAAGCAACUGUUGCCACCACAACCUAUAUCGAGGAAGAUAAAAAGGUCAAUUCCCAAGAUGUAUUGUCACAUCUAUACUUGAAAAUGAAAGGAAGCUCAAAACACUGUUAUUGUCUUUUCAGAUUAAUAAAAAAUGAUCACAACUCAAGCAGUUUAGCUUCCAUGAAGCCACAGAAAGUAUACUCCAAAUAUUAGCAACGUCCACUCAUUGUUACCAGAUAUGGAUAAGAGCAUUAUAAAGUGUAAAAGAAGAACCUCUAUAUUCAUCUUAUAGCAAGUAAAAUGAACAUAUGAGAAUAUAAAUAUAGACAGGAUGCUGCAAAAAAACAGGUAAACUAGAUACCUAGGUUUAAAACAGCUCCUGUUAUUAUCAUCCAUGGAGAAUUUUAGAUUCAGAUGAUGGAAAUACAAAACAAUCUAAGAUUAUUGGUUCCAUUAUCCAAACCUCUAGCAUGUUGUCAUGAAAUUCCUUGUGAACCUGCCGGAGAUGUGAUUUUGACAACGAUGCAUUAUAAGCAGCAGCCUUCACACCAUAAUCACAAAGAUAAUUUGCAAUGCUCAAUGUUUCUUUUCUCGUAGGAACAUAUAUGAUGGUUGGUCCUUCUUCUAAAGGCUCUUGCAAAAGAGCUAAUCUUUUUUCUGCUGUACUAGAGGCAUCAAUUGUCUCAGCUAACCCACUCAUUUCCCAGUCCUUGUGAGGAGAUUCUCCACAGAACUCACCAUAUGCAACAUCCCAGUCAUCCACGCUCUGAAAGUCGUCAACCUCAUUUUCCAAAUAUUCAACUGAUAGUUCUUUUCUCUCCAAUCCAGAUGCAGUUGAUCCAUCUUCCUUUGUUAAAUGUACUUCAUCAUCAUCAUCUACAUCACUACACUCAUCUGCCUCUGAUAUGCUACUACAAGAACAAUUACUUAUGGUCUGUUUCUUGUUGCCAUUCUUUCUCUUUCUGGCAUAUAUGUCUAUCAACUGGCAAAAAUCCUUCUUAUAAGAAGCUGAAGAAGAGGUUCUGCUAUGUUUUACCAAGAACCGUAGAUUUGGUCGGAAAAAUGACGUAAUCACAAUCUUUGUUUCCUUAGACAUGUUCAAUGAUUCAAGAAUGUCUUCUCGAACCUGAAUGGUGGCAGUUGCAGUCAAUGCCAUCAGUGGUAUAUCAAAUUUUAAGAAUUGCAAAUUGCGAGCAUUAAAGUUCUCCCUCAAUACAGACAAACGCCUGUAGUCAGGCCGAAAGUCAUGGCCCCACUUGGAAACACAAUGGACUUCAUCAAUUGCGAACAAAGCAAUGCCACGACUUUCUGCAAGCCCCUGUAGUGGUUUUAUUAGUCUUAACACUGUCUCUGGACAAACAUAUAUUAUGUCAUACAUGCCUCUCAUUGCUUUUUGUUCCACACCACUGUCAGGUUGUCCAGAUCCAAGAAAGCAUGCAGAGAUACCAUAUCUUGAUAGCUUUAAGCACUGAUCAUGCAUCAAGCUUAUCAAUGGUGAAAUCACAAUCACGACCUUCCCUGUUAACAAUGCUGGAAUUUGAAAGCACAGAGAUUUCCCUGCAACAAAGUAAUUGUGUCAAAUUAAUUACCACAGCCAAUUAGGACAUGUAUAUACAACAAAGAAGCAAUACAGCAGUACCAGAUCCUGUUGCGGCAAGAACAAGGCAAUCUUGGUGAGCUAGCCAAGCAGCCAAAGCUUCCUUUUGGAAACUCUUCACGGAUGAAUAACCAAAAUGUUUUUGUAACAGAUUAUUAGCUCUCUGUUCCCAAUCUAAUCCUGUAUCUGCCUCUUCUCGGAAGCAAACUUGCAAAUCUUCUGGAACAGUUUUGAGGUUACCACAAUCCACUCUAGUAAUGGAUGCUUUAACAUCAUCUAUAGGACGGGCCAAGAUCUCUGAACUAGAAAUUGAUAUGUCAGGUACAUUAUUAUUUCUGCUUCGUUUGGGUGUACCUGUGUAUUGGAAAUGAUUCAAUAUACUAGACUGUCGCAUUUGACCCAAAGCAGCAGAGGACAAGGUUCUUUUGCCCAGAGCCUUUCUGUUGCUUGUGGAAUAUUCUGAAUUACUAGGUGCACCCCCACAAUCUCCGCAAGAACCAUUCAAGAUAUACUCAACAGCAUCAUUAAACAAUGGGCCCACUUUCUUCACAGCUUGAACAGCUGAAGAAUUCUCAAAUCCCAUUUCAAUCAGCUUUGCAAUGACUUCCUCAGAAGAUAGACGGCUACCAGCCAUGGCAUCAGAAAAGAAAAAACUAGAUGGGAACCAGGUUGUGGAUAGAACGAGACGAGAGCCAAAUGGGAACCCUAGAAUUUUGCAGAGGGAGGAAUCGCAGACGUUAGUUUUGGUUUCUUGUGACCACCGCGGAAAUUGAUUUUCAUGCCCGCCAAAAACUUUGAACUGGGAAUUAUUUUGAGAAAACGAACCGAGAAUCCUUGUUGAGGGGAGAAUCCUUG